ensembl:lncRNA
AUGCAACUGAGUGGAGAAAAUAGCUCAGAGGCUUUGACCACAGAUUGUUCCCUUCCUCCCUGUUUCACUUUGCCGAUCCAAAUGACUUCCUUUUUGCUCGCCGCACUGCACCACUAUCUCCAUCCCAGCUCUUGUUUAGUAUGUGCAAACCGUUCGCACAGCACAUGGAUGAAGGAGGGGAAGGGAGCACACUGCAUUAGGAAGCACUGGGGGAAAAGGAACAUGUUUAAACUGCUGUUGCCCUCUGGGGUGUGUCUCUUUGAGAAGUCAGAAAGCAUGAUCCACCUGGAUGACUGAAGGUCUGGCAAGAGAGGAAGUUAAUUACUGAUGACAGUUUGGUUUGGAAUGAAGAUGAUUAACAACAAGAAUGUAAGAUUUGCCAUGCUGAAGCUCUUGUUUUAGUAUGGGUUGAGUUUACAUAUCCAACAGGUUUGGGACCAGAAGUGUUUUAGAUUUUUUUCCAGAUUUUGGAAUACAGUAGAGUCUCACUUAUCCAACGUUCUGGAUUAUCCAACACAUUUUGUAGUCAAUGUUUUCAAUAUAUCGUGAUAUUUUGGUGCUAAAUUCAUAAAUACAGUAAUUACUACAUAGCAUUACUGCGUAUUGAACUACUUUUUCUGUCAAAUUUGUUGUAUAACAUGAUGUUUUGGUGCUUAAUUAGUAAAAUCAUAACCUAAUUUGAUGUUUAAUAGGCUUUUCCUUAAUCCCUCCUUAUUAUCCAACAUAUUCACUUAUCCAACGUUCUGCCGGCCCGUUUAUGUUGGAUAAGUGAGACUCUACUGUAUCUAUAUUUGCAUAUAUGCACACAAUGCAAGUCUAAACACAAAAUGUAUUAAUGCUUCAUAUACACCUUGUGCACAUAGCUUGAAGGCAAUUUUAUACAAAACUAGCUGUGCCCGGCCACGCGUUGCUGUGGCUUAGUCUGGUGGUGUUGGUCAGUCUACAUUAGGUUGUAUUUAUGCUGUGACCUCCACCCUUCUUUAUACUCACAUUAGUAGUAGUAUUUGAAGUCUGUUACCUUCUUCAAUUUUUGUGUUGAUUGAUAAUUGCUUGAGAUCCCUGUUGUCUUUGGUUUGUUGUUAAUUGUAAUGUCUGAUUCUGCUGAGUGCGGUUUAUAUUUUUAUUGUGGUACAAUAGUAUUUUUUUGUUUUGCCUGUGUAGGUGUUUAUUAUUAUUGUUGUUGUAGUGGUCAUGAAGGUUGGAUAAGUUAGAUGCUACUGUAUUGUUUUUUGGAGGUCCAGUGUAGCACUGACUGGCCUCUCAGCCUCAGUGCCUGACUGCUUCUUGCCUGUGAUGGUGUUGAUUCUUGUUGUUGUUGGUGUAAUUGUUAUUAUUGUAAUUGUUUUUUUGGAGGCCAAGUGUGAAUGUAGGGAUUGGGGAGGUGGAUGAGUUGUGUUGUCAGAUUUUGUAUUUGUUAUAGUCACAAUGCGUUGUUGUGAGUUUUGUGGGUCCAGAUUGUGGUUUUGUGGUGUGGUUGUGUUGUUACAACUGAGAGGCAAGGCUUUUGUGUUGUGUUGCCAAGUUUUGUAUUUCUGGGGCGUUUAGUUGUGUGCCAAGUUUUGUAUUUCUGGGGCGUUAAGUUGUGUUGUUAUAGUCACGAUGCAUUGUUGUGAGUUUUGUGGGUCCGGAUUGUGGUUUUGUGGUGUGGUUGUGUUGUUACAAUCAGGAGGGAAUGCUUUUGUGUUGUGUUGCCAAGUUUCGUAUUUCUGGGGCGUUUAGUUGUGUUGUUAUAGUCACGAUGCGUUGUUGUGAGUUUUGUGGGUGUUGUGUGGUUUUGUGGUGUGGUUGUGUUGUUACAACUGGGAGGCAAGGCUUUUGCAUUGUGUUGCCAAGUUUUGUAUUUCUGGGGUGUUUAGUUGUGUUGUUAUCACAUGAUGUGUUGUUGUGAGUUUUGUGGGUCUGGAUUGUGGUUUUGUGGUGUGGUUGUGUUGUUGUAACCUGGAGGCAAGCCUUUUGCAUUGUGUUGCCAAAUUUCGUAUUUCUGGGAUGUUUAGUUUUGUUGUUAUAGUCACUGCGCAAACAACUUUAUCAUUUUAUAUAUAUAGAUAUCUGUAAUAGUUUUAUGCAUGAAACAAAGUAUGUGUAUACUACACAAUCAGAAAGUAUAGGUGUCACUAGCUAAACAAUUUGGACAAUUUUGGAUUUUUGGGGAAUUCAGAAUUCAUGAUAAGGGAUGUUCAACCUGUAUUUUGUUUCCAAAGGUGGUCUGAAUCCUUUCUAAGAAUUUCAGAGGUAUCUAGAUAAAAGCAGAGACUGUUUGUGCUAUUUGUUGGGGAUUGUGGAUGAUAGAUGGAAGCUCUUACAUGUGCCUGUGAGCCCAGAGACACCCUGAAGAAUGAUGCACCACUCAGCUUUGCAGAAUAAAUAACACAGGAACUUUUACUGAAUCCAAAAGAUCAACAGAACAGUGGUAUUUACAAUAGUCCCUCUGAUUGCUUACAUAAUCCUUUUCUUAGUUCAUGAGACUGCUUCAGUGAAGAUCCGCAGCAAACAAGGCCUCAGAAAUAGUUAGGCCUCUCUGAGUACAGAGCCAUCUUCUUUCCAGCUAGUACUCAGAAGACUCACAGAGAGAGGGGGGGGGCUGUUCAAACCGGUUCUCCAGCAGCUGGAUAGCAACAUUUACAAAACCAAUUCCCCAGGUCCUUGCAAACUCAGCCAAUUGGCUCCAUGCAUUUGAUUUUCCAGUUAAUAAUAAUAAUAAUAAAAUAAUAAUAAUAAUAAUAAUAAUAAUAAUAAUAAUAAUAAUAAUAAUUUUAUUCUUGUACCCCGCCCCAUCUCCCCGAAGGGACUCGGGGCGGCUCACAUGGGGCCUUGCCCAAACAUCACAAUAUAAAAACAAAACAAAAAACACAAGUUUACAACAAUAAAUCAACAC